rnacentral:lncRNA from 1 species
CUUUGAAUUUCAGCAGUCCAUACCUCUUUUAGAAGCUCUCCAUGCCCCUUCUCUCUUCUCCCUCUCUUCUCCCUUUUGAAGUCCAACGCCCAAGGGUGUUGGGCAUCCCACUUCUCCAUGCCCAGGAGGAGUUUGGGUGUCUCUUUGCUUGCUGAUUUUUAAUCUUUAACUGCUUCAUAAUCAAGGAAAGAAAAGCAAGAGAAGAAGAGAAAAAGAAGAUCAAGGAAAGGAUUAAAGAGUUGAUCACGAUCCAGACUUCAUUCAGAUUUGCUUGUUUAUUGUUCUUAGAGAAGAAGGAUCAACACCAAAGAAGACUGUUCCAGGCUGAUCUUGAGUGGAUACCGAUAGAGAUUGGGUACUUACGCGGUUAAGGAAGAACCUACUCUCUUUCAGAUUCAGAUUUGAAGAAAAGAUUUAUGAAACAAGUAUGUGAUUCGAUCACAUAUUCAAUUUCGGCAUAAAAUUC